AUCAUCAAUCAUGUGAGAAGAUUGAAGUUUAGAGGAGGAGCAACGCUCCGGCCAUCGAUUCCAAUGAAGCCCCCCUUCUUCUUUUUUUUCUUUCUUUCUUUUUUUACUUUUAGCCACAAAACAGAAGCAGGCCAUCUAUCCCUUUUAAUAUUUAGCUCCAUCAGUGCUAACAUGCCUUCGUGGCCGUAUUGAUAGGUCCAACGCAUAAAGGCUCCAUUUGGAGCUCGGUGACAUUUUUUGAUGGUGAAAAUUAAUUAUUCACAGGUUAGGAUUAAGCGCUCAGGGAGAUGGGCUGUGGCUACUGUUGGAGGGUCAACAACUCUCCCAGCAAACAAAAAUACUCAGCCAGUGCUGCAUAUGGAGGGCCGAUUAUACAGACAGCGGAGUUGAGCAACAAAGGAAAAUGAUUUAAUAAAUGAAACCGUGACAACAGUUAUGUUUGUUGGCAUAAAGUGAGGAGGGGUGGGGGAGGAAGAUGGGAUGUGCAGGACUGCAGGCUUUGACAAACGGCUGUAUGUGUGGACAUUUCGACGCGCAAUACCCCGGGAAGGAGCUGCAGAGUUGCGCGCAGAGGGAGCCAGGGCGCUCACCGUCUCCAGGUCUCUGUGUGCGCUCUGUAAACACAGCCGGUCCGGCGCGCCGUGCCGCUUGAAGACUCUGAUUCUCAUAACCUAAAUACCGCCGGUCUCAUUGAGUUCUGUGCUAACGAUUGCAUCUCUUAUUUUUAUUUUAUUUUUUUCAACCACUAUCUCUUUGGAUGACCCAUGGUCCUUCCACGCUUGCAUUGUCGGCUGGUUUCCUCCAAGGAGAUCGCCGGGAAGUCAGCCUGAACGCAGCUGCAUUCACGUGGAGCGACGCGUUUUGAUAUUCAGGAGUUCACACGUCCGAGCGAGGCUACCCAGGUAAUUACCUGGCAUUGUCAAAUAAAGCGACCACUGAUUCAAAUUAGGAGUGAAAUAUCAAAGAGCAGCGUUGCCUCUGCAGCCAGCACUUAUCCACACAGGAGACACAAGAGGAGAUCUGAGAGCUCUGGGGACCUGCAGGGAGGCGGCAACAAAAACACUCUGCCUUCUCCUUCCUAGAUAAAUAUCACCAAUGAAAGCAACAGAACCCAACAUGCCCAGGUUCACCAGGAACAGUGUUAUUUGUUUGUGUUACGUAUCCCACUUAUCCAUUAUUAGCUUUUAAAGUGAAGAGGGAUUUCGUGAUAUUCCUCAACAUUCCUCAUGUGUGUCCCUCAAAGGUCAAAGGCUGAUAUAUGUGGAUAUGAUCACACUCCAGCAGGGGGGUCAGGACACGUUCUCGCUCUUCCAUUACGGCAUUUCUUCCGUGUUUCUGCAUCAGAUACAAAGAGAGAACUAAAGAGAAGUCAACCACCGGGAUUAGAAGUGAGUAGCGCAUUAAGGUUUGGCAGCAGAAAUGAGCUGCACAACCACACUCAUUCAUAACGUGCAAUGUUUGUCUUUGAUUUUCCUCCCACUUAAAUCUACAAUCAGCUUCCCAAACCAGCCUGAAUCCUCCUGUUUUUUUGUUUUUUUUUUCCUUCUGCUGCGUCGUACGGCAUAAUUUAAUACCGUGUGUAAUUUCUUCAUCUUGAUUUCGGUGCUCACCGACAACAGGACCUUUGACACUUUGACACAGCAAGUGGAGGGUGAUCUCGAUGAACAAUGUCACUGCACUUGGAAGGGGGGAAAACAAAGGAAAAGAUUAUUUCUGAUCCCCCUUCAUGUUCAAACUAGACAAGGUGCAUCCAGGGAUUUCACCUCAGCACAAAAUAAGGGGGACGUGUAAUUUGACUUGCCACAUCUCGAUGGAACCUGAACGGGUUACAUUCUGCAACAACAAAUAAAAUGCUUUCCAUGCUUUAGUACGUGUUUUUCGUGGUUGGAGGCGAAACGGGUUUGCAGACGAUAUUUUAGUGUUUAAUGCUGUAAACACACAGUUUUCCCUCCCUCUGGCAUAUGGAUGGCUCCCAGGGACACUUUACAUGUAAAUAUUCAUAGAGAGAUGGGAUGGGCUAUUAAUUAUUAAGCACAGUAAAAAAAUUUAAAAAAGUGUAAUACUUCAAUAUUACACACAUAUGAAUCCUAAUUUUUUAUUUGCUGCAUAUGUUCAGCUGAGAGGAGUCAUAUUU